CCUGGGAGCAGGGCCUGCACGCGGGCUCUCUGGGCAGCGCGGAAGGACAGGCCUGCGUGGUGGCCGGCACGGAGCUGGUGUUUGCAGGGUGGGGGUCAGAGCCACCAGGCAGGGGGAGGAGUGGGGGGCUGGAGCCCAGUCAGGGGACAAGGCGAGGGAGAGUUCUGGCCCGUGGUCAUGCUCCCCCCACCUGGAGGGAUGGCUGCUUCAGCCCCCCUAGCCCCCCCAGGAUCUGGGAAGUGAGGGCCAGACAGUAAGACUGGAAGGAAGGAAGGGCUGCCAGACCCGGGGAGGAGCUAGGACAUCUCCACGAGGGCACUCUGGGGGAGCGUGCAGGCUGCAGACACUCUGGUGCUGGUGCGCUGGGUGGCGAGUGUGGGGUGAAUGUGGGGCUUCCCUUCUGGAACGCGGGCUCUUGACCCCCUGGGCAGCACAGACUCGGUGUUUCCCGAUUUAUCUUUCGAGCUCUUUGCUUUCAGUGUCUCAAAUUAUUUUCUUUUAUACUUGUUUCUAUAAACUGUGCUUUUUAGAAACUUCUGAUUGGAGAUUCCAUUUUACCUGAUGAUUCAAUUCAGUGACCUUGCAGGCAGUAGUGGACGCCCGGGGUCUUUGUCUACAACCUUAGCUUGUGUGACCUGUUGUGGGCUUUCCUCCCAGGUGGCCAGGGCGUGCUCUCCGGCCUCCAGUCCCUGGACUCCUGUCCUGUUCACAGCUGCCUUGCAUCUCCCGCCGCUGCCCCAGAGCCCUGGCUUCCUUCCAACACCGUGAGGCCCGUGAGGCCCAUGAGGCCCGUGGGGACGGUGAGACCUGUGAGGCUUGUGAGGUUUGUGAGGCCCGUGAGGCCGGGGCCACGCUCGCCCCUCCCCCAUGGUAUUGGCCCUGACGUUGUUGUUGGUUAUAAACCUGCCCCAAACAGUCAUCCUCAUACACACUGCUCUUGACCCUGAAGUCGUCACCUUACCCCACAGACUCAGGCAGGUUCUCUUUCUCCUCACAGGCUUCUUCCUUCCUGCUUAUCUCUCCCCAGAAAUGUCAUCUAUUUAUUUGCAUUCUUUUCUUCCAACUUUUAUUUGGAAAAAUUGCAAACCCACAGGAACAUCUUAACUUCCACCUGGAUUUGCUAUUGCCAUUUUGACGUGUGUCAUCUGUCCAGUGUGCACACGCGUGUGCUCCUCUACAUGUGUUUUACUGGCUGAGCCAUUUGAGAGUGAGAUGCAGAUAUUAUGACACUUGUUGUUUUUUUUUUUUUUUUUUUUUUAAGAUUUUAUUUAGCCCGGGUAUCUGGCACCGCGGCUGCGCAGUGACACAGGAACCCUGCUGGCUGGCGAGGUGGCGGCUGCAGCUAUGGCAGGGAAAGAGUUGGAAUGAUGCCAGUGGCAGGCGGAUGAGGUGACAGAAAUCUUGCUCAACAACUUCGACAAGGUCCUGGAGCGCGAUGGGAAACUGGCCGAGCUGGAGCUGCAUUCAGACCAACUGCUG
rnacentral:lncRNA from 1 species